ACGGGGAGCAGCAGGCGCGAAACCUUUACACUGCACGACUGUGCGAUAGGGGGAUCCCAAGUGCACAGGCAUAGCGCCUGUGCUUUUCGGUACCGUAAGGUGGUACCAGGAUAAGGGCUGGGCAAGACCGGUGCCAGCCGCCGCGGUAAUACCGGCAGCCCAAGUGAUGGCCGAUCUUAUUGGGCCUAAAGCGUCCGUAGCUGGCCGCGCAAGUCCAUCGGGAAAUCCACCUGCUCAACAGGUGGGCGCCCGGUAGAAACUGCGUGGCUUGGGACCGGAAGGCGCGACGGGUACGUCCGGGGUAGGAGUGAAAUCCCGUAAUCCUGGACGGACCGCCGAUGGCGAAAGCACGUCGCGAGGACGGAUCCGACAGUGAGGGACGAGAGCCAGGGUCUCGAACCGGAUUAGAUACCCGGGUAGUCCUGGCCGUAAACAAUGUCUGCUAGGUGUGGCUCCCACUACGAGUGGGUGCUGUGCCGUAGGGAAGCCGCUAAGCAGACCGCCUGGGAAGUACGUCCGCAAGGAUGAAACUUAAAUGAAUUGACGG
rnacentral:rRNA from 1 species